rnacentral:rRNA from 1 species
GUGUCAGCAGCCGCGGUAAUACGUAGGGUCCAAGCGUUAAUCGGAAUUACUGGGCGUAAAGCGUGCGCAGGCGGUUGUGUAAGACAGGCGUGAAAUCCCCGGGCUCAACCUGGGAAUGGCGCUUGUGACUGCACGGCUGGAGUGCGGCAGAGGGGGAUGGAAUUCCGCGUGUAGCAGUGAAAUGCGUAGAUAUGCGGAGGAACACCGAUGGCGAAGGCAAUCCCCUGGGCCUGCACUGACGCUCAUGCACGAAAGCGUGGGGAGCAAACAGGAUUAGAAACCCUCGUAGUCC